CUUUUCAAUUGCAUCAGCUUCUUUUUUAAUGUAAUGACGAAUGGAUUCAAUUAGACAGAAACCAUAUUGUGGCUGACAUAUCAAGGGUGUUACUUCUUCCCACAGAUUUCAUUAUGCACACCGACUAAAGGCAUUGCCUUUCUCUGCUGUCUCUCCAGGUUACACUUGUAGGCAGCUCUUUGACCAGAGACAGUAGAUUCUUCUUAAUGAGACCCUGGCAAAAAGGAAAAGAGAAAUCCUCUGAGACACUGGUCAAGAGACAACAAGGAGCAGAAGGGAAUGGCCUUUGGGACUGCUGUGUCAGCCCCAAACUCUUUUGAAAAGGACGAAAACCAGCGACUGAAGCCAGACCGAAGGUGGAAUUGAUGGUCUCGGCGACUGGAAGAAGGCGGGGCCAUCCUCAGUUAAGAAACAGAUGGUAACCAAAAGGAAGCUGGUGUUGGCUGUAUUGGAAGAUGAAGUCAAUUUUAAGAUAAAAGGCACUGCUAAAGAGAAGGAAUAUCCCCACGUGAUGAAAAGGGGUUCAAAUCACCUGGAAGGUGGAAAAGCUGUGCACCAGGAACAUAUCUCCAAGUCUGUCUAGCAGAAAGUGACACAAGGAGAAAUCAAGUCACAGAUCAAAGUGGGAGAUUUUUAACAUCUCUGUUAGGAAUUGAUACACAAGCAGAUAAAAAUCGGAUGGCUAUGGAAAGUUCGGAUGAAAACAGUUAUAAGCUUGAUCUGAUGGACACACAGAACGGUAUCUGAAAACAGUAUAUACUUCAAGCACACAUGGAACAGUGGGGGAAACUCUCAAAGUUCGUAAAACAAGUCAUAUUUUAAAGUGUCAAUGUCAUACAAAGUAUAUUACCUGGUCAUAGCACAAUUUAAAAACGUAAGUGGAAAUUGCUAAAGUUUCCUGUUCGGAAGUUUAGAAACAUGCUUCUAAAUUACCUGUGGGUCAAAGAAUAAUACCUAAUGGAUGUCAGAGUAUUUGGGAUCAAAAGAUAAUGAAGAUGCUAUGCAUUAAAAUGUGUCAGACACAGCAAAGACACUGCAAAAAAGCACUAGAUAGCCUUUAAAAAAAAAAAACAAAAACAAACAAUUUCUCACCUGAACUAUAGCCACCUCAUAUCACCCUGUCUCCAGCUUUGCCACCUCACAGGUCAGUAUCCACAUAGUAAAGAAUUCAAGUCUUUCCUCCUCUAUUUAAACCCAACCUUCCCAUCCCCCA
ensembl:lncRNA